UUAAGUUCAGCGGGUAUCCCUACCUGAUCCGAGGUCAACCAUAGAAAAUUUGGGGUUACUGGCAAGCAGCCACCGGGGCCCAGCAGCGAGAAGAAUUACUACGCUGAGGGACCAGAUGGUGCCGCCACUGUUUUUGAGGCCCGCCGUUUCCGGCGCGGCCCAAGACCAAGCAGAGCUUGAGGGUUGAAAUGACGCUCGAA
rnacentral:misc_RNA from 1 species